CCUACGGGACGCAGCAGUCGGGAAUAUUGCGCAAUGGAGGAAACUCUGACGCAGUGACGCCGCGUAUAGGAAGAAGGUUUUCGGAUUGUAAACUAUUGUCGUGAGGGAAGAAAUUGACAGUACCUCAGGAGGAAGCUCCGGCUAACUAUGUGCCAGCAGCCGCGGUAAUACAUAGGGAGCAAGCGUUAUCCGGAUUUAUUGGGUGUAAAGGGUGCGUAGGCGGACUGUUAAGUCAGCGGUAAAAGCCCGGGGCUCAACCCCGGCGAGCCGUUGAAACUGGCUGUCUUGAGAUGUCGAGAGGUCUG
rnacentral:rRNA from 1 species